rnacentral:rRNA from 1 species
CCUACGGGCGGCAGCAGUGAGGAAUAUUGGUCAAUGGACGAGAGUCUGAACCAGCCAAGUAGCGUGAAGGAUGACUGCCCUAUGGGUUGUAAACUUCUUUUAUAUGGGAAUAAAACGUUCCACGUGUGGGAUUUUGUAUGUACCAUAUGAAUAAGGAUCGGCUAACUCCGUGCCAGCAGCCGCGGUAAUACGGAGGAUCCGAGCGUUAUCCGGAUUUAUUGGGUUUAAAGGGAGCGUAGGUGGAUUGUUAAGUCAGUUGUGAAAGUUUGCGGCUCAACCGUAAAAUUGCAGUUGAAACUGGCAGUCUUGAGUACAGUAGAGGUGGGCGGAAUUCGUGGUGUAGCGGUGAAAUGCUUAGAUAUCACGAAGAACUCCGAUGGCGAAGGCAGUUCACUGGACUGCAACUGACACUGAGGCUCGAAAGUGUGGGUAUCAAACAGGAGUAGAUACCCCUGUAGUC